CAAACACAAACACAAGCGCGCACACACACACACACACACACACACACACACACAACCAUAAAGAGUACAUUAGCAACCUGAAGAGGGCGCGGUUGUAUUAUAACUUAAAGGACAAACGCGGCAAACCAACAGCGAUUGGAAGUCUGAGUCGGUUCCGCAAAUCGGUUCUUUUGAACAAUUCGUUUAAAAGAACUGGUUCAACAAUUAUCUCGAAUCCCUCAGACCGAUUCUACAAACCGACUCAACUGAUUCACUGAAAAGACUCGACCUAAAAAAAAACGUUUUGAUCGCUUCUGCUUUUAGACUUGGCAACCAGGAGAGGCCAUUUUGAUGCAGGUGGGCGGGGUUUCGAGGCUCACUCUGGUCACGUGACUGUCAUGUGACGUCAAGACUUCCUGGCGGCAGUUUCAGACGGGGCUGAGGUCGCGCUGCUCGGAAUCGUGCAAUUUAAAAAAAGGAAUAUCAGUAAACAAAAGCCGCAACAGAAAGAACAAGAAGCGACGGGCCCACGGAUACAACCUGCACCGGGGACCCACAAACCCCAGCUAC